GACGAACGCUGGCGGCGUGCUUAACACAUGCAAGUCGAACGGAAAGGCCCUGCUUUUGUGGGGUGCUCGAGUGGCGAACGGGUGAGUAACACGUGAGUAACCUGCCCUUGACUUUGGGAUAACUUCAGGAAACUGGGGCUAAUACCGGAUAGGAGCUCCUGCUGCAUGGUGGGGGUUGGAAAGUUUUGGCGGUUGGGGAUGGACUCGCGGCUUAUCAGCUUGUUGGUGAGGUAGUGGCUUACCAAGGCUUUGACGGGUAGUCGGCCUGAGAGGGUGACCGGCCCCAUUGGGACUGAGAUACGGCCCAGACUCCUACAGGAGGCAGCAGUGGGGAAUAUUGCACAAUGGGCGGAAGCCUGAUGCAGCAACGCCGCGUGCGGGAUGACGGCCUUCGGGUUGUAAACCGCUUUCGCCUGUGACGAAGCGUGAGUGACGGUAAUGGGUAAAGAAGCACCGGCUAACUACGUG
rnacentral:rRNA from 1 species